rnacentral:rRNA from 1 species
UAUGUUUGUCCGGGGCAACCCGCGUCGAGCAGGGCUGAAAGAUGUUCAAACUUGAUCCUUUAGAGGAAGUAAAAGUCGUAACAAGGUUUCCGUAGGUGAACCUGCGGAAGGAUCAUAAUCGAUGAACAUGUACCGUUCUUAAGCGCCUACAAGCCCUUGGACGAGUACAUAUUUCUAAAAGCCUUAAACAGGCGAAAUAAAGUCAAUGUGAAGGAGACGGGUACCAGGACGUUACGUCAAGGUUCAAAGAAUUCCGCCCGACUUCUCUCACAACACACACAAACCUCUAGUAACCACGGUAGUUGGAAAAUAUUCGAAACGCCGUAGUCUUUGCGAAAGCAAAGACGAAUAGCGCUCGAAGAACACAAUGUGUCAUAAUUAUGACCCUGAACGGUGGAUCACUCGGCUCGUGGAUCGAUGAAGAGCGCAGCAAAGUGCGCUAAUCCAUGCGAACCGCAGAACACAUGGAGCAUCGAAAUCUUGAACGUAAAUGGCGGCCCAGCUUCACUGCUCGGGCCACAUCUGACUGAGGGUCGGUUGAUUGAUGAACGAUUAUUCUGGGUGCCGAGCGGAAAGAAAUUUCCAUCGAUGCCUUAAAUUCAAUCGGUCACCACUCGAUGGGAGGCAUUAUCAAGAGUCUAAGCGGCACCGAAGUGUCUGGAGCCCAAACGACUCCUAUUGCUACAAACCCUGUCGGUGGUUGUGACUGUAAAAGCUAAGUACAGACUUAAGUUUGCUCAUAAGGCGUUUGAGGCAGUGUAUAGUCUCGGACGGUACGUGUGUGUUUGUCUGUACGCCGGGCGUGUCGGGAAACUGACCACCGCGAUGAGACAGCCGUACCAAGACAAAUCACUGACGAGCCUGUGAGUAGCUCAGGUCGAUAAAAGUACAAAGCACCAAUCUUAUCAUAUCUGACCUCAGUUUAGGUGAGACUACCCGCUGAACUUAAGCAUAUCAGUAAGCGGAGGAAAAGAAACUAACAAGGAUUCCCUCAGUAGCGGCGAGCGAACAGGGAAGAGCCCAGCACCGAAUCCCGUGCCCUGCAAAGAGACAGGGAAAUGUGGUGUUUGGGAGGGCCGUGCGCGCCUGUCCGGUAUUAGCCCAAGUUCUCAUGAACGAGACGAGCAACCCAUAGAGGGUGUCAGGCCCGUCGAUAGCUAGCCGC